AGCUUUCUCUCACGGGCCACAGUAGUUGCCUCAUUCUGGGGCCGCUAUAAAGCAUCUGCAUGGCACCGUAGAGCUCCUCUGCUGGUGGUAUCUUCCCUAGGGUGGCAGUUCUCUCUCACGGUCUUCUCAUGUCUCACAGUCAUGUUGUUUGUGGUGUCUGUCUGUGUCGGGUUUGGAGCUGCCCUGCCCAGGGGUGUAGCAAUACUAAAGACAAUGGUAGCAUAGCUUUAUGGUUGCAUAGUAAUACGUUGAUCUGCCCUGAUCCUUUUGGCAAAGACUAUACGGUUCAUCUCCGGGCAAAUAGCUGUAGAGAGCUGCCGGAGUUGUUUUCACUGUGUUUGGCAGGUGCCAGAGGUUGGACUCUGGCCUGCUGGGAGUGGUGGUCUGUGUGGUAGUUGAAUGGGUUGAAUCUUAAAGGAGCCUUAGCUUGUAUGUGGGGUUCAACAUGUGGGGUUUGGUUGUUUUAGCUGUAGUUAGAAGGCAUAUGCAAAAAGAGAGACCUUUGGUCUUGUAAAGCUAUUGGUUAGUGUCUGGGUGACUACCUUCACGUGAUUUGGGUUUCUCAGAUGCAGAGUGAUGAGGCAUGUGCCGCAGGGUGACAGAAGAAGUAAGGCAAAGUCAGGCCGGUGUCUGAUGUCAGAGGAUAUGUGUGACUGAUGGCUCUGAUGGGCUUAUGCUGUUUUGGGUUUAUUUGCUAGGUGUGAACAGAUGGGUGAAGUGGGAUAUCUGUACCGGAGCAGACUUUAGAAAGAUGCUGCAUUCCUUUCCAGAGGGUUGAAGCUGCACAGCUAUGAGCAGUUUGAGAAAAGGCAAGAGAGUUAAGUGGUCCGCUUGGGCUGAAUUGCUGAGGGUCCAUGCAACUGUGAUGUAUUACUUUGAAAGCUAGAGCAGAGCAGGUAACAGAGUGGCAUGAAGUGAUUAAAGGAACCUUGCAUUUAGGUGACAAGGCCACUAUUGAGGAUGGCUACUGAGCAUGGACCGUGACCUGUGGCACCAAGAAAGCUAAGAAGUGGGACAGAUUUAGACAGACAGAGCUGCCUAAGCUUUUUGGACUGAGGUCUUUUGACCUUCAGAGGAGCAUGCGUGUUUUGCGAGGGCCUUAAUCUUCAAGGACAACGGCUCACAAUUAGGAAUCUCCCGAUUUACUCACAGAGCCUCCUCACGUACGCGUUUCCCGGGAGGCGUUUAUCAUGCUCACCUAGCUCGAGGACCUCUGCAUGAUGGAUGAUGCGUUGCAGGCGUUUGACCGAUCACUUAGGUUUUUCUGCUACACUAAACAAUGUUUUUUCCUUCACCCGUUUUCCAACAGAGGGCCACUGGGAGGAUGGGAGGAUAUGGGAGGACAUUGGGAGGGCUGUGGGGAUACUGAACAUAAUGGGAGACCCUGGACACAAACUGGGAGACACUGGAUGUACUGCAGAGGGGCCUGGAGGACACUGGGGGCGCACUGGGAGACAGAGUGAGGACUGGAGGGGACUGGAGCGAUACUAGGGGGUCUGUGGCAGGACAGGGAGGACCCUGGAUGGACUGGGACACACUGGAAGACACGGGGGGGGCACUGGAGGACACUGGGAGUUACCAGGUAGUCUGUGGCAGGACUGGGAGACACUGAAGGACUCUGGGGGUGCACUGGAGGGACACUGAGAGGGACUGGAGGGUACUGGGGGACUCUGAAAAGAGUGGGAGACCCCGGGGGUGCACUAGGAGACACCAGACGCACUGCAGAGGGGCCUGGGGCACACUGGCAGCACAGUGGCGGACACAGUGAGGACUGGAGCGAUACUAGGGGGUCUGUGGCAUGACUGGGAGGACACUGGGU